rnacentral:rRNA from 1 species
UACGUAGGGCUCAAGCGUUAUCCGGAAUUAUUGGGCGUAAAGAGCUCGUAGGCGGUUUGUCGCGUCUGCCGUGAAAGUCCGGGGCUCAACUCCGGAUCUGCGGUGGGUACGGGCAGACUAGAGUGAUGUAGGGGAGACUGGAAUUCCUGGUGUAGCGGUGAAAUGCGCAGAUAUCAGGAGGAACACCGAUGGCGAAGGCAGGUCUCUGGGCAUUAACUGACGCUGAGGAGCGAAAGCAUGGGGAGCGAACAGG